rnacentral:lncRNA from 1 species
UUUCAUCUUAUUAUUAUUAAUGUGUUGUGUAUAUUGACAUGAUAAUGCACAAAGAUGAUUUCACAGAGGUGAGGAAACAUGUUAGUUUUCCUAACAUGAGGGGGGAGACAUGAUGAACACUUGAGAAAAGGUUACAUGAGAUGAAUUAUCAUUUGUAUAUAUAGAUCCUCGAAUAUCAUAAUAUGAACAUGAAGUUCANNN